AGUGACCCAGCCUUCCCUUUGCUUCCUUUCUUCUUCCCUCCCUGCUGCACAGCUCCUUGGUGCCAGAAGCGCAGUGCUGCCUCACCUGAGGAUUCAGAGCUGCCUCCAGGCCCUUCCAGGACAAGUCCAGAUAUUCAAGGGCGUGAAGCUUCCCCAGCAGCUGCCAAGAAAGUGUUUGCUGCAUCUGGACUUGGGGUUUCAUCAGGCCAGCCAGGCACACUCAAAUUUCAAUCCCAGCCAGAGCUCAUGACUCCACCAUUUCCUGCGCACCAUCAAAGCACUUCUGCGGCCUCUCCAGAGAGCAGCAGCUGCACUUCUCCAGAGCAGCACUUGCCAGCCAACAUCCCAUCAGCUGCCCUGGGCACUUCAGUCCCCAGUGCUCCAGCUGGCAGUGCUGGUUAUGCAGCAUGGAGAGCCCCAAGCUGGGUCUGGAGUACUCCUGGGGAAGAGGAAUUGCCACCGCUGGAUCUGGACCUUGUUCUGGAGACACUGGAGGAGAUGCUUUCACCAUCUGUGC